CAGUUGGGAAUCUUGGACAAUGGGGGAAACCCUGAUCCAGCCAUGCCGCGUGAGUGAUGAAGGCCUUCGGGUUGUAAAACUCUUUCGACGGGGACGAUAAUGACGGUACCCGUAGAAGAAGCUCCGGCUAACUUCGUGCCAGCAGCCGCGGUAAUACGAAGGGGGCUAGCGUUGUUCGGAAUUACUGGGCGUAAAGCGCGCGCAGGCGGUCUUCCAAGUCAGUGGUGAAAGCCUGGAGCUCAACUCCAGAACUGCCAUUGAAACUGUUGGACUUGAGUACGAGAGAGGUGAGUGGAAUUCCCAGUGUAGAGGUGAAAUUCGUAGAUAUUGGGAAGAACACCAGUGGCGAAGGCGGCUCACUGGCUCGUAACUGACGCUCAGGCGCGACAGCGUGGGGAUCAAACAGGAUUAGA
rnacentral:rRNA from 1 species